rnacentral:rRNA from 1 species
AUGGAGCCAAGGCUCAUCCUGCUCAAGGCAAAUACCAUCAAUGCUGCAGCAGAAGAGAUAGUUGGUAUUCUGGAGGGCACGACCAAACACGAAAGAAAUAUCUUCUUCCGUGGCUGGCAGGGACUCGGGGCAUCCACUGUUCUCAGAGUGGUUGCCCAACGCCUGAAAUCAUCAGCUGCUCAAGAAAUGAAGUUUCAAAAGGUUGUACACGUGGAUUGCUCAUUGUGGCAAAGCAUGAGAGCCCUGCAAAGGGCAAUUGCUGAGGAGCUAGAGCUUCCCCAGUCGGUGAUGUCCAUGUUUGAUCAGCAUGAUGAGGAGGAUGAUUUCAAUGGGAUAGACCAAGGCUCUAGAGGGGUAAUAAGUGAUGUCACAGGGGAGAUCUUCAGAAAGCUUUAUAACAGUACAUUUGUGGUGAUUUUUCACAACGGGAACAACCACUACAUUGAUUUGUAUGAGUGUGGUCUCCCCAUAACUACAUUUUUGAGUAACAAGGUGUUGUGGACCUGGGGCAGGAGGCUCCGACUCUAUAACGAAGAAGAAGAAGAUGAAUUCGAGAAAACUGCGAGUAAGGCUGAUAUUGACAUGGGAGGUCAAGAAUUGCGGAGAAAUGUAUUGCAUGAAGAGGCCGCCAAGUACAUUGAUAUUCUUGAGCCUGGCACAGUAGUUGAGUGCUUCCAGUACGUCUGGGCAAGAAAACGUGCCGGCUGUAUUGACUGGCGAAUGCAUGCUUCAAACUAUUGGAUAUGUGAUGGGAUUAUACUAGAGGAAGGCAAUCCGUCUGCAUGGGAGGUUGGUGAUGCUCUAGAGAGAUACAUCUACUUGGAUUGGAUUAUGGAGGAAGAUAAUCCCAGUGAAGAUGAAGAUGAAGAUGCAAUUGAUGCUUACAUUUCUGGCCCUAAUGACCGUUCGGUUUCAGCCACACACCAACCCCUGAUACAUGAUGAUAUUGGUGUGCUGCCUCUUCGAGCGACAUCCUUCCUCCUCCUAGCAGAUAAAUCAAAUGGUAGGAGGGUGAAGCCUCUAUUAUCAGUUGUCAUGUUCCCAGACAACAAUAGGCUGCGUGUGUUGCACCUAUCUUGGUGCACCUUCAGUUUUACAUCUCCUCCCUUCCUCUGCUGCAGCCACCUAAGAUUCCUCCUGCUGGACCAUUGCACAGAUAUCAAAGAUGAAGAGCAUAAAAGCAAAAACCAAAAUGGAUCAUGCUUCCAAAAGCUAUGGGUGCUGGACCUGAGGUAUACAGACUGGUACUCAGAAAAGAUGAUGUGUUUAAUGGAUGAACUCAGGGAGCUGAAUGUGGAGGGAGUCAGGGACUGGAGGGUAGUUGAUCUUUGUGGCAGUAAAACUAGGCUUGUCAAGCUCCGAGUAGAAGCUGACCCAGACGCUGCAACUGAAAUAACCAUGCACAAGCCAGUCCCUAACAUGUCCAACGCCAACCACCUUAAGACAAUUAUCCUUGAGAGUUGCGUUGGAUUGGAACAAGUUGUUCCCGAUGUUCUUCCCCCGUUACUUGAGUCAUUUAGCUUUACUGUAGAUGAUGACGCUAUUGCUAAGAUAUCCAGCAUCUCCUUCCAGGGCCUCGCUAAAUUGAAGAGUGUGCUGCUGAGAGGCUUGAUGGAGAGCCUCGAGGAGCUGGACCUCUCAGGCACAGCAGUGAAGACCCUCGACCUUAGAGAAGUGGUAGCAAGAAACCUCAAGCAGCUCAUCAUGUUGGGCUGCCAGAAGUUGCAAGCAAUACAAUGGCCGCGAAUAGGAGAAAGGCCAUGGUGGUUGGAGGUGUUGCGCGUCGACACCGUACAAUCCGGAUCAUCUGGCCAAGGCAAUUGUGAAGAAAAAUCCAAGGAGACUAUUGCUGCUACAGGAUCAUCACAGAAUAUUGCAGUUGUUGCUAUGAAACAAGAUGCAUCUUUUGAUAAAUACAUCUAUGUAAGGGACGGAAGGCUCCUGAGGUCACUAGUGCCUGUCAGAGCAUCUUUUGAGCUUAGGGGUGGACAUAUGGAGAUGUCAUCAUCACCUGCAAGUAGUGUUGCUGUUGGUGAUCGUGGAUAUGCCCAACGAAUUAGACAUCCUGAUCAUUAUUUAUAUGCAAGAGAUAUCGUAUUUCAAUACCACCUUCACGUUGUUGCUGCUAAUGAAGGUGCAAUCAGGUGGAUGUGGGCUUGUCCACCUGCUCCUGUUGUUGAUACAGUCAAGGAUUGGUAUGUCCACAUACAAGUUGAAGAGGGUAUGAAGAAGAGUGGCUUACUGAAGCAGGAAGGUGGCACCCAAGGAACUAUUACUGGUGCUACUUCAAUCCCAGAUGAUAUAUGCAGAUUACAUGCUAAGAUGUUGCAUGUGCAUGAUUGCUUGUCCAUCACUAGCAUCCCAGUCCCAAGAGAUCUUGUUUGGACACGACUUGAACAGUGUCGAGUUGAGAGGUGCCCCAAUAUAAGCUCUGUCUUUGCUGCUCUCAAAGGAAGUUAUACUAAUUAUGUUAUGUUUUGCUUUUAUCACUUGACCACAUUCUGGGCAUCCCAGCUCCUGAUGGCGCGCUACAUAUGGAACUGGAAUACAAUAUGGCAACCCAGUGAGCAUUCCUUUCGAGACCUAGAAUUUUUGCACCUAGACUACUGCCCAAGGCUCAUACAUGUGCUCCCCUUAUCUGUGGAUAUGACUACCUUGCCUCACCUAGUGACCCUCGAGAUUGUGUGCUGUGGCGAUAUCAUGGAGAUCUUCCCUCUGGAUCCCGAGCGCCAAGAGAAGCAAACAAUUAUAAAUUUCCCCGAGCUCAAGCACAUCCACCUGCACGAUCUCCCCAGGCUGCAGCACAUCUGUGGAAGUAGGAUGUUAGCACCAAAACUUGAAACUAUCAAGAUAAGGGGCUGUUGGAGCCUCAAGCGCCUGCCUGCCGUUGCGAAGAAAUUCCCCAAGGUGGACUGCGAGAAGGACUGGUGGGACAGUUUGGAGUGGCACGAGGGGGAUGUGAACCACCACCCUUCGCUCUACAAGCCGACCCACUCAAGGUACUACAAGAAGUCCCAGUUGCCGAGAGGCAGCGUACUCAGGUAA